AUUGAACGCUGGUGGCAGGCCUAACACAUGCAAGUCGAGCGGAAGAGAGAAGCUUGCUUCUCUUGAGAGCGGCGGACGGGUGAGUAAUGCCUAGGAAUCUGCCUAGUGGUGGGGGAUAACGUUCGGAAACGGACGCUAAUACCGCAUACGUCCUACGGGAGAAAGCGGGGGAUCUUCGGACCUCGCGCCAUUAGAUGAGCCUAGGUCGGAUUAGCUAGUUGGUGAGGUAAUGGCUCACCAAGGCGACGAUCCGUAACUGGUCUGAGAGGAUGAUCAGUCACACUGGAACUGAGACACGGUCCAGACUCCUACGGGAGGCAGCAGUGGGGAAUAUUGGACAAUGGGCGAAAGCCUGAUCCAGCCAUGCCGCGUGUGUGAAGAAGGUCUUCGGAUUGUAAAGCACUUUAAGUUGGGAGGAAGGGUAGUAACCUAAUACGUUGCUACUUUGACGUUACCGACAGAAUAAGCACCGGCUAACUUCGUGCCAGCCGCCGGGGUAAAAC
rnacentral:rRNA from 1 species